rnacentral:rRNA from 1 species
UAAGAGGUCCAGCCUGCCCAGUGACUAAUGUUCAACGGCCGCGGUAUCCUAACCGUGCGAAGGUAGCGUAAUCACUUGUUCUUUAAAUGAGGACUAGUAUGAACGGCACCACGAGGGUUAUACUGUCUCCUCUCUCUAAUCAGUGAAACUAAUCCCCCCGUGAAGAAGCGGGGAUAAAACUAUAAGACGAGAAGACCCUAUGGAGCUUUAAACUUAUCCUCAAACGCCAAAAUCACACAUCAAGUUUCAAACUUCACCAUAUGAACUCUCGCGCCAUGAGGACAAUUUUAGGUUGGGGUGACCAUGGAGUAUAAAAUAACCUCCAUGCUGAAUAGGCCUCCAAGCCUCGAGCCAAGGGCUACGAUCCAUCGCACUAAAAUACUAAUAUCCAUUGAUCCA